rfam:Daucus carota subsp. sativus cultivar DH1 chromosome 3, whole genome shotgun sequence.
GCAUUAUGAUGAUCAAUUAUAAACCAUCCGGUUAAUUAUGUGAUGAUUAUAACCUCCUACUCAUUCUGA